rnacentral:lncRNA from 1 species
CGGUGGGGUUAGCCUGAGCUGGGGUGGAGUUGAGUGAGGUAGUAUUAAGGGAUUGGAGGUGCCUGUGACAUCAUUAGGAGGAGCUUCGACAUCACUAAUUGCUAGGCGGUAACAAGUAUCAGGUUACCUUUCUUAGCGGAAAGAGGGGCAUGUUGGGAAGAAGAAGAAGGCCCUUUGUUGGGAGAAGCCAUAUUUUAACGUGGUGUUAUGGGAAGGAGGCUGCUAUUCCAUGUGGCAGCCAUUUUAAGUUGUUGGACGAAGGUCUCCUCUUCUGGAGCUGCUUCAAGCGGACAAAGUUUAUUAAAGCCACCAAAGUCCAGGAGCUGCCUGUGGAACCAGCAUUCCCAACUCAAACCUCAGAAGGAGAAGGCCUUCCAGAGCACCCACUGCUGUCCUGGGAAAGUCACCCUCCCGAGCCUGAAGUACGCACCUGUUCAAGUGCACUAACAGUAAGUAAACGCUGCACCACCACUGUCUUACCUUCCAUAGCACUGACGUGUGCUUGGGUGCUCUCUUAACUGGGAUUUUUAUUAUCACUGUGAGUUAGGAGUGGUGGUACCAUGAGGCUAAGGCAGGAGGAUCACUUCAAGGCCAGCCUAAAUUACAUAUUGAUACCAUAUCGUUAAAAAAAUUUUUUUUAAGUUCACUAUCUUUGUUUUCCCAGGAAGGUAAGGGAUUAGAAAUCAAGCUGGGGGCCAGGAAUUUAGCUCAGUGGUUUCGUCGCCUGCCCCACAAGCGCAAGAACCCGAGUUUGAUCCCCGG